rnacentral:rRNA from 1 species
GACAGAGGAUGCAGCGUUAUCCGGAAUGAUUGGGCGUAAGCGUCUGUAGGUGGCUUUUAAGUCCGCCGUCAAAUCCCAGGGCUCAACCCUGGACAGGCGGUGGAAACCUACCAAGCUGGGAGUACGGGUAGGGGCAGAGGGAAUUUCCGGUGGAGCGGUGAAAUGCGUAGAGAUCGGAAAGAACACCAACGGCGAAAGCACUCUGCUGGGCCGACACUGACACUGAGAGACGAAAGCUAGGGGAGCGAAUGGGA